UGUAUGUGUGUGUUUAAAUAAACAUAGAAACUGACCCUUCUGGUCUUAAAGCUUGAAACUUGUUUGUUUUAUCUGAGUUCCUUCCUCAGGAAAGGACCUUCAGGCCUCUCAAAAAAAGUAUCAAAGAACUGAAACUCACCAGAUCACUGCACCAGAGGACUCUUUGCCCCUCUCUAGGUCAUGUUUUCUUACACACUGUUACAUUUCUUCCCUGCUAUA